GAACGCACAUUGCGCCCCUCGGCAUUCCGUGGGGCAUACCUGUUCGAGCGUCAUUUCAACCCUCAGACGGUCCUUUUGGUCUGUCUGGUCUUGGGCGUCGUCCAAGGACGUGCCUUAAAAGAAUUGGCGGCGUAGGUGCCGGCUUCGAGCGUAGCAGAUGCGAUUCGCUUUGGAAGCCGGCGCUCACCUUGCCAGAAAAAUCUCUGAAUGGCUGACCUCGGAUCAGGUAGGGAUACCCGCUGAACUUAAG
rnacentral:misc_RNA from 1 species